rnacentral:tRNA from 1 species
UGGGGAUGCAGCUUAGUGGUAGAGUGCUUGCCCAGCAUGUGAGAUCCCUGGGUUCAAUCCCCAGUACCACAA